AACGCAUAUUGCACUCUCUGGUAUUCCGGGGAGUAUGCCUGUUUGAGGGUCAGUAAAUAAUAAUUAUCAUAAUCUUUUGAUUGUGGAAUUGGGUCUUUAUUUCAUUAAUGAUUUAUGGCCUCAAAUUUACGUUUACCGCUUGUUUAAUAUGAAAUUCGACCGAAUGGAGCAAUUAAACAUUCUCUCGUUAGGCGGAUUCAUCAAGCAAUUACGAUUUUUUGGCCGUCGAAGCACUUUUUUUAAAAGUGCUUGGUCAAGAUUGUAAGAUACAUUUAACAAUGACCUCAAAUCAGGCAAGAAUACCCGCUGAACUUAA
rnacentral:misc_RNA from 1 species